rfam:Salmo salar isolate Sally breed double haploid chromosome ssa16, whole genome shotgun sequence.
GCUUCGUUAGCGAAGUAGGUAGCGUGUCAGUCUCAUAAGCUGAAGGUUGUGAGUUCGAUCCUCACACGGGGCA